rnacentral:rRNA from 1 species
UACGUAGGGUCCGAGCGUUAAUCGGAAUUACUGGGCGUAAAGCGUGCGCAGGCGGUUCGCAAAGACAGGUGUGAAAUCCCCGGGCUUAACCUGGGAAUGGCAUUUGGGACUGCAAGGCUUGAGUGCGGCAGAGGAGACUGGAAUUCCUGGUGUAGCAGUGAAAUGCGUAGAUAUCAGGAGGAAUACCGAUGGCGAAGGCAGGUCUCUGGGCUGACACUGACGCUGAGACGCGAAAGCGUGGGGAGCAAACAGG